CAAGGCUGAGGCGUGAUGACGAGGCACUACGGUGCUGAAGCAACAAAUGCCCUGCUUCCAGGAAAAGCCUCUAAGCAUCAGGUAACAUCAAAUCGUACCCCAAACCGACACAGGUGGUCAGGUAGAGAAUACCAAGGCGCUUGAGAGAACUCGGGUGAAGGAACUAGGCAAAAUGGUGCCGUAACUUCGGGAGAAGGCACGCUGAUAUGUAGGUGAAGCGACUUGCUCGUGGAGCUGAAAUCAGUCGAAGAUACCAGCUGGCUGCAACUGUUUAUUAAAAACACAGCACUGUGCAAACACGAAAGUGGACGUAUACGGUGUGACGCCUGCCCGGUGCCGGAAGGUUAAUUGAUGGGGUUAGCGCAAGCGAAGCUCUUGAUCGAAGCCCCGGUAAACGGCGGCCGUAACUAUAACGGUCCUAAGGUAGCGAAAUUCCUUGUCGGGUAAGUUCCGACCUGCACGAAUGGCGUAAUGAUGGCCAGGCUGUCUCCACCCGAGACUCAGUGAAAUUGAACUCGCUGUGAAGAUGCAGUGUACCCGCGGCAAGACGGAAAGACCCCGUGAACCUUUACUAUAGCUUGACACUGAACAUUGAGCCUUGAUGUGUAGGAUAGGUGGGAGGCUUUGAAGUGUGGACGCCAGUCUGCAUGGAGCCGACCUUGAAAUACCACCCUUUAAUGUUUGAUGUUCUAACGUUGGCCCCUGAUCGGGGUUGCGGACAGUGUCUGGUGGGUAGUUUGACUGGGGCGGUCUCCUCCUAAAGAGUAACGGAGGAGCACGAAGGUUGGCUAAUCCUGGUCGGACAUCAGGAGGUUAGUGCAAUGGCAUAAGCCAGCUUGACUGCGAGCGUGACGGCGCGAGCAGGUGCGAAAGCAGGUCAUAGUGAUCCGGUGGUUCUGAAUGGAAGGGCCAUCGCUCAACGGAUAAAAGGUACUCCGGGGAUAACAGGCUGAUACCGCCCAAGAGUUCAUAUCGACGGCGGUGUUUGGCACCUCGAUGUCGGCUCAUCACAUCCUGGGGCUGAAGUAGGUCCCAAGGGUAUGGCUGUUCGCCAUUUAAAGUGGUACGCGAGCUGGGUUUAGAACGUCGUGAGACAGUUCGGUCCCUAUCUGCCGUGGGCGCUGGAGAACUGAGGGGGGCUGCUCCUAGUACGAGAGGACCGGAGUGGACGCAUCACUGGUGUUCGGGUUGUCAUGCCAAUGGCACUGCCCGGUAGCUAAAUGCGGAAGAGAUAAGUGCUGAAAGCAUCUAAGCACGAAACUUGCCCCGAGAUGAGUUCUCCCUGACUCCCUGAGAGUCCUGAAGGAACGUUGAAGACGACGACGUUGAUAGGCCGGGUGUGUAAGCGCAGCGAUGCGUUGAGCUAACCGGUACUAAUGAACCGUGAGG
rnacentral:rRNA from 1 species